GAGUGGCGAACGGGUGAGUAACACGUGGGUAACCUGCCCAUCAGAAGGGGAUAACACUUGGAAACAGGUGCUAAUACCGUAUAACAAUCAAAACCGCAUGGUUUUGAUUUGAAAGGCGCUUUCGGGUGUCGCUGAUGGAUGGACCCGCGGUGCAUUAGCUAGUUGGUGAGGUAACGGCUCACCAAGGCCACGAUGCAUAGCCGACCUGAGAGGGUGAUCGGCCACAUUGGGACUGAGACACGGCCCAAACUCCUACGGGAGGCAGCAGUAGGGAAUCUUCGGCAAUGGACGAAAGUCUGACCGAGCAACGCCGCGUGAGUGAAGAAGGUUUUCGGAUCGUAAAACUCUGUUGUUAGAGAAGAACAAGGAUGAGAGUAACUGUUCAUCCCUUGACGGUAUCUAACCAGAAAGCCACGGCUAACUACGUGCCAGCAGCCGCGGUAAUACGUAGGUGGCAAGCGUUGUCCGGAUUUAUUGGGCGUAAAGCGAGCGCAGGCGGUUUCUUAAGUCUGAUGUGAAAGCCCCCGGCUCAACCGGGGAGGGUCAUUGGAAACUGGGAGACUUGAGUGCAGAAGAGGAGAGUGGAAUUCCAUGUGUAGCGGUGAAAUGCGUAUAUAUAUGGAGGA
rnacentral:rRNA from 1 species